rnacentral:rRNA from 1 species
GGGGACCACUGGACAGUUCGCGAGGUUUUGGCCCUCCCAAAAUCCAAUUCCCCGGGGCUGAUUUUUCUUUCGGAAACACGUCAAGCCUCAAAUAAGAUGGAGAUACUAAAGUGGAGACUACAAAUGAAGGGGUUCGUGGGUGUAUCUAGUGAUGGCCGUAGUGGGGGGCUUGCUUUCCACUGGGAUGAGAAGUUACAGGUGAAAGUUUUGGAUACAUGUGCGCGGUAUAUUGAUGUGCAGAUUGUGGAUAUUGCUAAUGAUAAAUCCUGGAGGACUACUUUUGUGUAUGGCGAACCACGGGUGGAGAACCGCCAUCGCAUGUGGACUUCCUUGACAACACUCCGAGCGAUUUCAGCGGAACCGUGGCUAGUGUGUGGAGACUUCAAUGAAGCAAUGUUGCAGCACGAACACUUCUUGCGUGUUCAACGAGCGGAAAGUCAUAUGCUAUUGUUUAGGGACUGCCUUACGUCCUGCGAGCUUAUGGAUUUGGGUUUCUCUGGAAUUCUGUUCACUUAUGACAAUGGUCAACAGGAUGAUGGUAAUGUCAGGGUCAGACUGGACAGAGCAUGUGCCGACGAAGCAUGGAGGGAUAUGUUCCCUUUCACGCGAGUGAGGCACCUAGCAUCGUCAUACUCAGAUCAUGUCCCGGUGCUUGUUCAAUAUGCACAGGGUGAACCCUAG